rnacentral:tRNA from 19 species
GCCGACAUAGCUCAGUUGGUAGAGCAACUGACUUGUAAUCAGUAGGUCCCGAGUUCGACUCUUGGUGUCGGCACCA